CCUGCUCUCAUGUCGGCGACACGGAAUUAAUCGUGUAAACACAAUGGAAAAUACAGAGGAGGUUGCCAACAAUCGUCCUCGCAGAAGACAGAGCAAAGACCCACCUCCUGAGUUGAGUAAUCUGAGGAUUGUUCUACUGGGGAAGAGUGUUUCUGAAAACAGUCAAGUGGGAAACAUCAUAUUAGGACGAGCAGCGUUUGACAGUGAAGCUCCUCCAGAUGUUGUAGA